GAUGAACGCUGGCGGCGUGCCUAAUACAUGCAAGUCGAGCGAACAGAUCAUGAGCUUGCUCCUUUGACGUUAGCGGCGGACGGGUGAGUAACACGUGUGUAACCUACCUAUAUGACUGGAAUAACCCCGGGAAACCGGGUCUAAUGCCGGAUAACAUUUAGAACCGCAUGGUUCUAAGGUGAAAGAUGGCUUUGCUAUCACUUAUAGAUGGACCCGCGCCGUAUUAGCUGGUUGGUAGGGUAACGGCUUACGAAGGCAACGAUACGUAGCCGACCUGAGAGGGUGAUCGGCCACACAGAAAGUGAGACACGGUACAGGCUCCGAGGGGAGGCAGCGGCAGGGACGCUAGCGCAAUGGGCGAAAGCCUGAAGGAGCAACGCCGCGUGAGUGAUGAAGGGCUGCGGGUCGUAAAACGGUGUUAUGAGGGAAGAACAAAUGUGUAAGUAACUGAGCAUGUCUGGACGGUACCGAAUAAGAAGGCCACGGCUACCUCGGG
rnacentral:rRNA from 1 species